rnacentral:lncRNA from 1 species
UGAGGUGAAGUUUAUAGUGUACACUUUAUCGCGCUGAUAAUAGACGAAAGCUACGUAGAAGGAUAGUAAAGUUGCUUCUCUCUCUCUCUCUCUCUCUCUCUCUCUACGUAGAAGGAACGACACGGGACAGCACAAGCGCGGUUCCUUCUAUGUAGCUUUCGUCUAUUGUCAGCGCGAUUGUCAGGCCCUUUGGCUCUUCUAGAGGUGAAGUUUGUUUGCAGGCGGUCGCUGCUUGCCAUCUGCUUGCACAGCGCGAUUUAGUAGCGCGGUCGAGUGUCUUCAAAGGAGCGUGAAAUUUCAUCAGAGGCAUUUCUGUGCAAUAUCCCUGUAUCUGGAACAAUCAACGCGCGGUGUCCGGAGGAAUGAUUUGCACCUGUUAUGCAUGUUUAGGAAAAUAUGUUGCCGACAUCUGUAGAGGCCAAGGCAGCUACUGUCUGAAAGGGAAAAAAAAAAACAGGAAGUCAGUACUAUGGCCACAGGACCACUAAGGGUGCCAAGUGAAAGCCACCGUGGUAGCUGCAUGGACAGAUCUUCCCGAUUUCACUUGGAGGCCGUCUACCUGCUAUGACUAAAAGGCUGCCGACUGUGACGUUGUGUGCAGAUUCAUCACCCUAUCCACAUCAACGAAACUGACUGAACAGUGCUUUUGUUUGAACAUUAUAUCGGAAUGUUGCUGGUACACCAUGCUUUCUUUGCCAAAGCCUCAUUCUUUUAUUAGUUUGUGUUCAAGGUGCAUCCAAUUCUUUUUUAAAAUUUCUUCCUUGUGUAAGAACUUCUCGUUUCUCUGAAAACUGCAUUCAUGUUUUCCUGUUUUGAGGCUGUGCCUCAGUCAAACAAGGUAAUACUGCACAAACGUAUCACAAGGUGUAUUGUUGAAUAUUACAAUGCUGUCCUUUUGCAUAUGACUUUCUGUGCGCAUUAAACUUGUUCUACACACACAGAAAUUCCAUAUACCUGUGUUCAGUUCAUAUGGGCUUCACAUUAUAAAGGUUUAAAGCCUUACAAGUGCAUGUGCACAAAUGGAAAGAGCCCAGUGGGAGAUGGGGAGCAACACCAGUGCUUGGUGCUAGUUCUUUACCCUGUUUGCACUAUAAUGUUCAUUUCACAUACCUUUAUCUCUUGGGUUAUAAGAAGUUUAUGCUGAAAUCUCUUGCACUCUUUUUUCUUACUUUGUGAAGCAAGCGGUGCACAAAAGUGAAGUUCCUUGGACUUCUGCUGAUGCUUGCUUGUGAAAUACGUACUUCAAAAAGUCAAGAGGGAGAACUCGAGAACAUCACCUGAUGCAAGAAAGUCCCAGCAGGGUUGGAUAUUUUGAAGACAGUUUUUGUGUUUCUAGCGUAGUGUUAUGGAAUUUGACAUAGUAAAGAAAUGCUACAUGGAACGCUGAUCCGUACCCUUCAAUACCCUUGGAACUCGUGCCUCUGAAGCCUGUAUGUUGUAUUUUAUUUUGUUAUGAAUAAUAAAGUGAACCAAUAAUUGGGCUUUCACUGAAGUAA